GGGUUGUGAGGUUAAGCGACUAAGCGUACACGGUGGAUGCCCUGGCAGUCAGAGGCGAUGAAGGACGUGCUAAUCUGCGAUAAGCGUCGGUAAGGUGAUAUGAACCGUUAUAACCGGCGAUUUCCGAAUGGGGAAACCCAGUGUGUUUCGACACACUAUCAUUAACUGAAUCCAUAGGUUAAUGAGGCGAACCGGGGGAACUGAAACAUCUAAGUACCCCGAGGAAAAGAAAUCAACCGAGAUUCCCCCAGUAGCGGCGAGCGAACGGGGAGGAGCCCAGAGCCUGAAUCAGUGUGUGUGUUAGUGGAAGCGUCUGGAAAGGCGCGCGAUACAGGGUGACAGCCCCGUACACAAAAAUGCACAUGCUGUGAGCUCGAUGAGUAGGGCGGGACACGUGGUAUCCUGUCUGAAUAUGGGGGGACCAUCCUCCAAGGCUAAAUACUCCUGACUGACCGAUAGUGAACCAGUACCGUGAGGGAAAGGCGAAAAGAACCCCGGCGAGGGGAGUGAAAAAGAACCUGAAACCGUGUACGUACAAGCAGUGGGAGCACGCUUAGGCGUGUGACUGCGUACCUUUUGUAUAAUGGGUCAGCGACUUAUAUUCUGUAGCAAGGUUAACCGAAUAGGGGAGCCGAAGGGAAACCGAGUCUUAACUGGGCGUUAAGUUGCAGGGUAUAGACCCGAAACCCGGUGAUCUAGCCAUGGGCAGGUUGAAGGUUGGGUAACACUAACUGGAGGACCGAACCGACUAAUGUUGAAAAAUUAGCGGAUGACUUGUGGCUGGGGGUGAAAGGCCAAUCAAACCGGGAGAUAGCUGGUUCUCCCCGAAAGCUAUUUAGGUAGCGCCUCGUGAAUUCAUCUCCGGGGGUAGAGCACUGUUUCGGCAAGGGGGUCAUCCCGACUUACCAACCCGAUGCAAACUGCGAAUACCGGAGAAUGUUAUCACGGGAGACACACGGCGGGUGCUAACGUCCGUCGUGAAGAGGGAAACAACCCAGACCGCCAGCUAAGGUCCCAAAGUCAUGGUUAAGUGGGAAACGAUGUGGGAAGGCCCAGACAGCCAGGAUGUUGGCUUAGAAGCAGCCAUCAUUUAAAGAAAGCGUAAUAGCUCACUGGUCGAGUCGGCCUGCGCGGAAGAUGUAACGGGGCUAAACCAUGCACCGAAGCUGCGGCAGCGACGCUGAUGCGUUGUUGGGUAGGGGAGCGUUCUGUAAGCCUGUGAAGGUGUGCUGUGAGGCAUGCUGGAGGUAUCAGAAGUGCGAAUGCUGACAUAAGUAACGAUAAAGCGGGUGAAAAGCCCGCUCGCCGGAAGACCAAGGGUUCCUGUCCAACGUUAAUCGGGGCAGGGUGAGUCGACCCCUAAGGCGAGGCCGAAAGGCGUAGUCGAUGGGAAACAGGUUAAUAUUCCUGUACUUGGUGUUACUGCGAAGGGGGGACGGAGAAGGCUAUGUUGGCCGGGCGACGGUUGUCCCGGUUUAAGCGUGUAGGCUGGUUUUCCAGGCAAAUCCGGAAAACUAAGGCUGAGGCGUGAUGACGAGGCACUACGGUGCUGAAGCAACAAAUGCCCUGCUUCCAGGAAAAGCCUCUAAGCAUCAGGUAACAUCAAAUCGUACCCCAAACCGACACAGGUGGUCAGGUAGAGAAUACCAAGGCGCUUGAGAGAACUCGGGUGAAGGAACUAGGCAAAAUGGUGCCGUAACUUCGGGAGAAGGCACGCUGAUAUGUAGGUGAAGUCCCUCGCGGAUGGAGCUGAAAUCAGUCGAAGAUACCAGCUGGCUGCAACUGUUUAUUAAAAACACAGCACUGUGCAAACACGAAAGUGGACGUAUACGGUGUGACGCCUGCCCGGUGCCGGAAGGUUAAUUGAUGGGGUCAGCGCAAGCGAAGCUCUUGAUCGAAGCCCCGGUAAACGGCGGCCGUAACUAUAACGGUCCUAAGGUAGCGAAAUUCCUUGUCGGGUAAGUUCCGACCUGCACGAAUGGCGUAAUGAUGGCCAGGCUGUCUCCACCCGAGACUCAGUGAAAUUGAACUCGCUGUGAAGAUGCAGUGUACCCGCGGCAAGACGGAAAGACCCCGUGAACCUUUACUAUAGCUUGACACUGAACAUUGAGCCUUGAUGUGUAGGAUAGGUGGGAGGCUUUGAAGUGUGGACGCCAGUCUGCAUGGAGCCGACCUUGAAAUACCACCCUUUAAUGUUUGAUGUUCUAACGUUGACCCGUAAUCCGGGUUGCGGACAGUGUCUGGUGGGUAGUUUGACUGGGGCGGUCUCCUCCUAAAGAGUAACGGAGGAGCACGAAGGUUGGCUAAUCCUGGUCGGACAUCAGGAGGUUAGUGCAAUGGCAUAAGCCAGCUUGACUGCGAGCGUGACGGCGCGAGCAGGUGCGAAAGCAGGUCAUAGUGAUCCGGUGGUUCUGAAUGGAAGGGCCAUCGCUCAACGGAUAAAAGGUACUCCGGGGAUAACAGGCUGAUACCGCCCAAGAGUUCAUAUCGACGGCGGUGUUUGGCACCUCGAUGUCGGCUCAUCACAUCCUGGGGCUGAAGUAGGUCCCAAGGGUAUGGCUGUUCGCCAUUUAAAGUGGUACGCGAGCUGGGUUUAGAACGUCGUGAGACAGUUCGGUCCCUAUCUGCCGUGGGCGCUGGAGAACUGAGGGGGGCUGCUCCUAGUACGAGAGGACCGGAGUGGACGCAUCACUGGUGUUCGGGUUGUCAUGCCAAUGGCACUGCCCGGUAGCUAAAUGCGGAAGAGAUAAGUGCUGAAAGCAUCUAAGCACGAAACUUGCCCCGAGAUGAGUUCUCCCUGACUCCUUGAGAGUCCUGAAGGAACGUUGAAG
rnacentral:rRNA from 1 species